GUCUUCCAAAUUCCUCCUGCCAAAAGGAACCGGUCCAUCUCGGAUGUGGGAUUAAUGAUCCAAGAAAGGUCACGUCAAACUAAAACGGUUUACUUCCUGAGUUUUAUCGACCGUGGCAUGUUAAGACUUUUUUUGUGGGUCUACUCAGGUUUGAUGAUUUCCAAAAUUGAAGCAAAUCCAAGAAAGCCAAAAUUCUGCGGACGUCCAUUUUGGAGCGAAUUCCAGGGCUUGUACUUUGACAAACUCCUAGAAGGGAAUUUACCCGACUGGAUACAUGUGACAGAUGGGCAACACUAAAUUACUGAAUCUUUACUGAUUCCAUCUAACGUGGCAUUUGCCACUGUGCACAUCCUUGCUUGUCAAGAACAAAGCUCACCCAGACUUGGAAAAUAUUAAAAGGACUCAAAGGAUAAGCUGCUCAAUAGACUACUGUAAAUACUGUACACAACGUGGAGCUACAGUGCCACCUGCUGUCACCUGAGACUCACUGUGGGUCAAACAUCUGCCUCAACGAGCUCGUUUUAAGUGAGGCGUUGUAACUCUGACUUUGCCUCCUCUCCAAAAAGUUAAGUAUAGCAAAUUGUAGCACAGCAACCAAGCAGACAGCUGACAUCUGACCUGCCUGCGAGAUGACUUGCGGCCUUCUCUCUGUGUCUCUCCAGACCUGACCGGACCUGGCUGGCCAUGGAGUCAAAAGAGUGCCAACCGACAUCAUGCCAAGGCAGCGCUCCAGC